AUUAAAUAUUAAUUUUAAUCCCUACUGUUGCGGGAUUAGGAAUUGUACAUCUAAUUGUCGUGUAAGUGAAUAAAUUAGUUCGUACUAGGAAAGGAAAGUAGCCAGAAAAUGUCUGUUUUGGAUGAUCAAUAAUUUGAGUCCUAGUAUUAUUUUAAAUCAUUUGUUUCUAAACAAAUUUUGGAGGUUUACCUCACACUAGUGGCAGUGUGUUGUAUUCUAUAACAUGAAUCUUGCUAAUUCAACAUUUAUCUUUAGUUGGUUAAAAACAGAUCAUCUUUAUAGUUUUAAUGCCUACAGUAGCAUGGUUUAAUGUAAAUGAAUUACAAUGCCCG